GGGGAUGUAGUGUAGUGGUAGAGCACUUGCUUAGCAUGCAGGAAGCCCUGGGUUCAGUCCCCAGCACCACUA
rnacentral:tRNA from 1 species